rnacentral:rRNA from 1 species
UACAGAGGGUGCAAGCGUUGCUCGGAAUUAUUGGGCGUAAAGGGUAGGUAGGUGGUCUCAUUUGUCUAGGGUGAAAUCCUUGGGCUUAACUCAAGAAGUGCCCUAGAAACGGUGAGACUGGAGUCCUGGAGAGGGUCGUGGAAUUCCCGGUGUAGCGGUGAAAUGCGCAGAUAUCGGGAGGAACACCAGUAGCGAAGGCGGCACUCUGGGCCGGUACUGACGCUGAGGAGCGAAAGCGUGGGGAGCGAACAGG